AAUAAUGUGGUUUAAUUUCGAAUGCACCGCGAAAAACCCUUACCUACCUUUGACAUGUACGGAACUUCGCCAGAGAUGGCUUGGUGCUCGAAAGAAGAGCCGUAACACAGGUGCUGCAUGGCUGUCGUCAGCUCGUGUCGUGAGAUGUUGGGUCAAGUCCCGCAACGAGCGCAACCCUUGUCAUUAGUUGCUACAUUUAGUUGGGCACUCUAAUGAGACUGCCGGUGACAAACCGGAGGAAGGUGGGGAUGACGUCAAGUCCUCAUGGCCCUUAUAGGUAGGGCUACACACGUCAUACAAUGGAUGGUACAAAGGGUCGCCAACCCGCGAGGGGGAGCCAAUCCCAUAAAGCCAUUCGUAGUCCGGAUCGCAGCCUGUAACUCGACUGCGUGAAGUCGGAAUCGCUAGUAAUCGUGGAUCAGAAUGUCACGGUGAAUACGUUCCCGGGUCUUGUACACACCGCCCGUCACACCAUGGGAGCGGGUUCUGCCAGAAGUAGUUAGCCUAACCUGCAAAGGAGGGCGAUUACCACGGCAGGGUUCGUGACUGGGGUGAAGUCGUAACAAGGU
rnacentral:rRNA from 1 species